GCCAGACUCCUACGGGAGGCAGCAGUGGGGAAUAUUGGGCAAUGGGCGCAAGCCUGACCCAGCAACGCCGCGUGAAGGAAGAAGGCUUUCGGGUUGUAAACUUCUUUUCUCAGGGACGAAUAGAUGACGGUACCUGAGGAAUAAGCCACGGCUAACUACGUGCCAGCAGCCGCGGUAAUACGUAGGUGGCAAGCGUUAUCCGGAUUUACUGGGUGUAAAGGGCGUGUAGGCGGGGACGCAAGUCAGAUGUGAAAACCACGGGCUCAACCUGUGGCCUGCAUUUGAAACUGUGUUUCUUGAGUACUGGAGAGGCAGACGGAAUUCCUAGUGUAGCGGUGAAAUGCGUAGAUAUUAGGAGGAACACCAGUGGCGAAGGCGGAUUGCUGGACAGUAACUGACGCUGAGGCGCGAAAGCGUGGGGAGCAAACAGGAUUAGAUACCCCAGUAAA
rnacentral:rRNA from 1 species